GUGAGGAAUAUUGGUCAAUGGGCGAGAGCCUGAACCAGCCAAGUCGCGUGAAGGAAGAAGGAUCUAUGGUUCGUAAACUUCUUUUGCAGGGGAAUAAAGUGCAGGACGUGUCCUGUUUUGUAUGUACCCUGAGAAUAAGGAUCGGCUAACUCCAUGCCAGCAGCCGCGGUAAUACGGAGGAUCCGAGCGUUAUCCGGAUUUAUUGGGUUUAAAGGGUGCGUAGGUGGUUUGAUAAGUCAGCGGUGAAAGUUUGCAGCUUAACUGUAAAAAUGCCGUUGAAACUGUCGGACUUGAGUGUAAAUGAGGUAGGCGGAAUGCGUGGUGUAGCGGUGAAAUGCAUAGAUAUCACGCAGAACUCCGAUUGCGAAGGCAGCUUACUAAGCUACAACUGACACUGAAGCACGAAAGCGUGGGGAUCAAACAGGAUUAGAUACCCUAGUAGUCC
rnacentral:rRNA from 1 species